UACGUAGGGUGCAAGCGUUGUCCGGAAUUAUUGGGCGUAAAGAGCUCGUAGGCGGUUUGUUGCGUCGGCUGUGAAAUCCCGAGGCUCAACCUCGGGUCUGCAGUCGAUACGAGCAAACUAGAGUGUUGCAGGGGAGACUGGAAUUCCUGGUGUAGCGGUGAAAUGCGCAGAUAUCAGGAGGAACACCGGUGGCGAAGGCGGGUCUCUGGGCAACAACUGACGCUGGAGGAGC
rnacentral:rRNA from 1 species